rnacentral:rRNA from 1 species
GAUUUCUGGUAUGGCGCAUUUGGCCCGCCUCGUUACGGGGUUGUGUGCCGGUAUGCGCCUGCCAUCCUUCUGGGGAACUAUCAUUAUGCGCUUCCUUCAUUGUGAAGACUUUUGGUAGGGAACCUGAUCAUUUACUUUGAAAAAAUUAGAGUGUUUAAAGCAGGCUUACGCUAUGAAUACAUUAGCAUGGAAUAAUAAUAUAGGACUUUGGUUCUAUUUUGUUGGUUUCUAGGACUGAAGUAAUGAUUGAUAGGGAUAGUUGGGGGUGCUAGUAUUCAGUGGCCAGAGGUGAAAUUCUUGGAUUCACUGAAGACUAACUACUGCGAAAGCAUU